AUGCCACCGGAUAGAGACAUUGAGUUUUUGAUUGAGCUUUUGCCAGGCACAGGGCCAAUAUCUAAGAGACCGUACAGGAUGCCCACAAAGGAUUUGGAGGAAAUUAAGAAGCAGAUUAAGGAGUUACUGGAUAAAGGCUAUAUUCGCCCAAGUUCGUCACCUUGGGGAUCACCAGUGCUUCUUGUGGAGAAGAAGGAUGGAUCUUGA
rnacentral:rRNA from 1 species